GAUGAACGCUGGCGGCGUGCCUAAUACAUGCAAGUCGAGCGAACAGACGAGGAGCUUGCUCCUCUGACGUUAGCGGCGGACGGGUGAGUAACACGUGGAUAACCUACCUAUAAGACUGGGAUAACUUCGGGAAACCGGAGCUAAUACCGGAUAAUAUAUUGAACCGCAUGGUUCAAUAGUGAAAGACGGUUUUGCUGUCACUUAUAGAUGGAUCCGCGCCGCAUUAGCUAGUUGGUAAGGUAACGGCUUACCAAGGCAACGAUGCGUAGCCGACCUGAGAGGGUGAUCGGCCACACCGGAACUGAGACACGGUCCAGACUCCUACGGGAGGCAGCAGUAGGGAAUCCUCCGCAAUGGGCGAAAGCCUGACGGAGCAACGCCGCGUGAGUGAUGAAGGUCUUCGGAUCGUAAAACUCUGUUAUUAGGGAAGAACAAAUGUGUAAGUAACUAUGCACGUCUUGACGGUACCUAAUCAGAAAGCCACGGCUAACUACGUG
rnacentral:rRNA from 1 species